rnacentral:rRNA from 1 species
AAUCUAGUAUGAGAAAUUAGCGAUUUAAGUCCUUCUUAAAUGAGGCCAUUUACCCAUAGAGGGUGCCAGGCCCGUAUAACGUUAAUGAUUAUUAGAAGAUGUUUCCAAAGAGUCGUGUUGCUUGAUAGUGCAGCACUAAGUGGGUGGUAAACUCCAUCUAAAACUAAAUAUAACCAUGAGACCGAUAGUAAACAAGUACCGUGAGGGAAAGUUGAAAAGAACUCUGAAUAGAGAGUUAAAUAGUACGUGAAACUGCUUAGAGGUUAAGCCCGAUGAACCUGAAUAUCCAUUAUGGAAAAUUCAUCAUUAUGCCCAUGAUAUUAAUAAUAUUGUGGAAAUUUUGUGCAUUUUUUCCAUAUAAGGACAUUGUAAUCUAUUAACAUAAUAUAUAUUUAUCAAAAGGUCAUUUGCUUAAGUUUAUUCGAAUUAUUAUGCUUGCAUUUUAACAUAGAAUAAAUGCUUAUGAUUUGAUAAAGUGUUGAUAGAUUGAUUAUAUAUAAUUCUUAAAUUCAUUGUGAAUUUUAUAAUUGCAUCAAAGUCUUAUGAUUUGAAGUUAUAUUAUAUGAGUUUAUAUGAUUAACAAUGCGAUAGAUUCAGGAUACCUUCGGGACCCGUCUUGAAACACGGACCAAGGAGUCUAACAUAUGUGCAAGUCAUUGGGAUUAUUUACGUAAACCCAAAGGCAUAAUUAACUUAACUGUUUAUAAUGGGAUUAGUUUUUUGUCUAUUUAUAGUCAAUUAAUUCAAUCCCGGGGCGUUCUAUAUAGUUAUGUAUAAUAGU